rnacentral:rRNA from 1 species
AUUGAACGCUGGCGGCAGGCCUAACACAUGCAAGUCGAGCGAGCGGCGGACGGGUGCGUAAUGUCUGGGAAACUGCCUGAUGGAGGGGGAUAACUACUGGAAACGGUAGCUAAUACCGCAUACCAUCAGAUGUGCCCCGAUGGGAUUAGCUGGUAGGUGGGGUAACGGCUCACCUAGGCGACGAUCCCUAGCUGGUCUGAGAGGAUGACCAGACACACUAGAACUGAGACACGGUCCAGAAUCCUACGGGAGGCAGGAGUGGGGAAUAUUGCACAAUGGGCGCAAGCCUGAUGCAGCCAUGCCGAGUGUAUGAAGAAGGCCUUCGGGUUGUAAAGUACGUUCAGCGGGGAGGCGUUACCCGCAGAAGAAGCACCGGCUAACUCCGUGCCAGCAGCCGCGGUAAUUC